GAGAACUGAGGGGGGUUGCUCCUAGUACGAGAGGACCGGAGUGGACGCAUCACUGGUGUUCGGGUUGUCAUGCCAAUGGCACUGCCCGGUAGCUAAAUGCGGAAGAGAUAAGUGCUGAAAGCAUCUAAGCACGAAACUUGCCCCGAGAUGAGUUCUCCCUGACUCCCUGAGAGUCCUGAAGGAACGUUGAAGACGACGACGUUGAUAGGCCGGGUGUGUAAGCGCAGCGAUGCGUUGAGCUAACCGGUACUAAUGAACCGUGAGGCUUAACCUUACAACGCCGAAGGUGUUU
rnacentral:rRNA from 1 species